rnacentral:tRNA from 1 species
AGUGUCUACCUGGUUGUGCUCGUUUGCACCGAGUAGGUCAUCGGUUCGAUCCCGGUAGGAUCCACCA